rnacentral:rRNA from 1 species
CCCUUAGAUGUUCUGGGCUGCACGCGUGCUACACUGAUAUUGCCAAUAUGUCAUUCUUAUCCGAAAUGGAUUGGGUAAUCAAGUAAUGAAAUUUCAUGCUUGGAAUCGGUAAUUGCAAUUUUAUCGUGAACGAGGAAUUCCUAGUAAGCACUAGUCAUCAGCUAAUGUUGAUUAUGUCCCUGCCCUUUGUACACACCGCCCGUCGCUACUACUGAUUGGGUGUUCAAGUGAGAUGCUUAGACCCUUGUUGCAUGGUUCAUUAUUGUGCUCCGAAAGGAAAAAGUUUCAAGCUUGAGUGUCUAGAGGAAGCAAAAGUCGUAACA